rnacentral:misc_RNA from 1 species
UUAUCACUGUUCUUCUUUCUCUGGUCAGCUAGAGCCACUUCUAUAUUUUACAUGUGAUAGCGUGUGCGAGUAUAUUGUUUGUGCAAUUGAAACAGUUCAUUCAGAUUUAUUAUAAUAAGAAAUACAAAAAUAAUUCAAAACGAGUGUUAAAUAUUCUGCUUGCUAGUACUGUAUGUGAAAAAAAAUAAUUUGAGUUGGCAGUGUUGUCGUUUUAGUGAUGUAAUAAGUAAUAUUUGUAUUGCUUUGUAAUGUGAAAUGCGAGCGUUUGUAACUGGCCUUUACAAAUGCUGUUGAGCGAAAGCGGGUUUCUUAAUAUCAUGCACAUUUUUCUUUCUUAAGUUAAUUAUAGUUUUUUUUAUGUUGUGUGGUGAGUGAGCCCUAAUGGAACGACAGACGAGUCUUGAAGAAGAUUGUUAUGAGGAACCCGGAACGUUAGACUUCAGUAGCCAUAGCUAUGCUUUUACAGAAGCAACGGUUCGGAAUGGCCAAAUUGUUGUACAUUAUGAUGAUUUAAGUAAGCCAUUUUCUAUGACAUCUGAAGAAGAAGUCAAAUACCAAAACUUCUUGAAACUUGCCUCUGCAGAAGCAAUGGAAGAAUUAGAUGUUGGUGAAGAAGAUGCAUAUAUAUCCAGCACUCAAAAGCAAGACAUUUCCAAGAUGUAUGAAGACUUUGAGGAGAAAGCUAAGCUUGAAGCUGAAUGGAAAGAAGAAUUGUCUAAGAUUGAUGAUGAAAUUUUGGCCAUUCGUCAAGUAAUGGAAUACAAGUUGAAACGUUCUCAAGAACUAAAACAGAAACUAGGAAUCACUCCUUGGGUGGAAUUUAAAGAAGAUAUGGAGCAAGGGAUCAGACACAUUCAAGAAAGUUGUCAGAAGACUAGUCAAAAACUAAAGAAUGCUGGAGAAAGAACUUCCACAGCUUUUGGUAACAUUGGAACAAGCAUGAGUAAAAAGUUUGAAGAAGUCAAAAACUCCCAGACCUACAAAGCAAUUGAAGAGAAAGUGGAAACUGCUUAUGAAAAUGUUAAGAAUUCCAAGAUCCAAGAAUGAAAACCCACAAAAUGUUGAAUGUACUUCUGAUGGAAAAGAAUAUACAUCUGCUUCUGAUGUUUCUUCUGAGAGUGUAACAGAGCAAACCCCCACUUUUUCAUAACUGAGUAUACUUAUAAUUACUAAAAAAAGUAUUUUUUACAAUUGGAACCUCUAUUUUCUCAAGAAAAUUAAUCAAUAUACAGAUGGUGCAUGCAAAUUACUAUGAAAACAGAUGAUAUAUAAAGAUAUACCAAUACUUAUGUAUGUUUUUGUGAGAAACAUGCAUUACAUUGUUGCCAAAUGUGCCUUAUAAUGUUAUCGACUAGUAUAGCCUCUGAGCUAUUUUAUUUGGAUAAGGACAUUUUAUUCACUACUUAUGCUUUAUAUAUAACCUGAAAUCAUUAAGAUGCAAAUGUUUCUAAACCAAUAGAUGAAACAUGCCUUUAGAUAUUGGAAAAAUAAAACUUUGUUAAUGAAAACAAUUUAAUAUAUAAAAAUAACCAAAUUAGUUUAUACUUAAAAAAAAGUGUUAAAGGUAUGUUCCCUCUUAUGCACCAUUCUGGUUUAGUUACACCAGUGAUCUCAUCUUCAGGUCUAGCCGUAUUUUUGGUUAUAGUCAAGUUGGAUAACUUGUCUUUGUUGUGCUAAUUGCUACUAUUUAUGAACUUAACAAAGGAAGAUUUCUUUAAAUACACUUUCUGAUUUUGAAAGAAACAUUAGUUUGACUUUGAACUUUAAGCCAUAGACUUGUGUACUGCUUUAUUACAGUGACUUCAUGAUAAUCAUAUUAGUUAUAUUGACUGAUUCAGUGUGAAAAGGGCUAAAAAGGCUGAACUGAGGAAACCUAUAAUAUAUUUGGUGAUUUGAUGAACCCUGGAAAAUAUUGAUUUCUCUUUGCUCCUUCUUACAUACUUUUCAGUGCAGGAAACUGAAAUACACUGAUUAAGUUGGUAAGUGAUCACUAGGCUUGUAUCCAUUAUUCAGUUUUUAAAUCAGGAAACACUUUUUAUGUUUGGUUUUUGCCAUUAUAAUUAUAUUUUAAUGGAAAAAAAAGCCCUCCUCUGUUAACAAUCUAACCUAUAUAAAAGCCAGUGUGUGUGUCAUAUCACUCUUGAUUUCUUGAAAUAAGAGGUGUCAUAAAAGCCAAAAUGCAUUUAUCCAGAUGGAAUAAUUCAAUUAGUGUCUGCCCAUUAUGAGUUUAAUGACUGGGGGUUGGUAUAAUAAGCCUAAAG